rnacentral:rRNA from 1 species
GCAAGGCCUGACACUUCUUGAUAAGCCCGCGGCCUAUCAGCUAGUUGGUGAGGUAACGGCUCACCAAGGCUAAGACGGGUAGCUGGCUGAGAGGACGACCAGCCUCACUGGAACUGAGACACGGUCCAGACACCUACGGGUGGCAGCAGUCGAGAAUUUUUCUCAAUGGGGGAAACCCUGAAGGAGCGACGCCGCGUGGGGGAUGAAUGGCUUCGGCCCGUAAACCCCUGUCAUUUGCGAUCAAACCUUACGACCUAACACGUCGUAAGCUGAUAGUAGCGGAAGAGGAAGGGACGGCUUAACUCUGUGCCAGCAGCCGCGGUAAUACAGAGGUCCCAAGCGUUGUUCGGAUUCACUGGGCGUAAAGGGUGCGUAGGCGGUCGGGUAAGUCUGACGUGAAAUCUUCAAGCUCAACUUGGAAACUGCGUCGGAUACUAUUCGGCUAGAGGAAUGGAGGGGAGACUGGAAUACUUGGUGUAGCAGUGAAAUGCGUAGAUAUCAAGUGGAACACCAGUGGCGAAGGC